GGGAUGUAGUUCGGCUCCCGUAGGAGUUUGGGCAGAGUCUGCUUGCGGUUGAAGUCGUGGGCGGAGUCCGGCUCCCGUAGGAAUCCGGACGAAGUCUGUCUGCAGCCGUUGGAGUCGAGGCCGGAGCCUGGCUCCCGUAGGAGUCUGGGUGGAGCCUUCCUGCAAUUAAAAUCAAAGGCAAAGUUCGGCUCCCGUAGGAGUCCGGACAAGGCUUACCAGCAGUUGAAGUUAUGGACAGAGCCCGGCUCCCGUAGGAGUCCGGGCGGAGUCUUCCUUGAGGUUGAAGUUGGGGACGAAGUCCGGCUCCCGUAGGAGUCCGGGCAGAGUCUGCUUGCGGUUGAAGUCGUGGGUGGAGUCCAGCUCCCGUAGGAAUCCGGAUGAAGUCUGUCUGCAGCCGUUGGACUCGAGGCCGGAGCCCGGCUCCCGUAGGAGUCUGGAUGGAGCCUUCCUGUAAUUAAAAUCAAAGGCGAAGUCUGACUCCCGUAGG
rnacentral:lncRNA from 1 species